rnacentral:rRNA from 1 species
AACGAACGCUGGCGGCAUGCCUAACACAUGCAAGUCGAACGAGACCUUCGGGUCUAGUGGCGCACGGGUGCGUAACGCGUGGGAAUCUACCCUCAGGUUCGGAAUAACUCAGAGAAAUUUGAGCUAAUACCGGAUGAUGACGUAAGUCCAAAGAUUUAUCGCCUGAGGAUGAGCCCGCGUAGGAUUAGGUAGUUGGUGAGGUAAAGGCUCACCAAGCCGACGAUCCUUAGCUGGUCUGAGAGGAUGAUCAGCAACACUGGGACUGAGACACGGCCCAGACUCCUACGGGAGGCAGCAGUGGGGAAUAUUGGACAAUGGGCGAAAGCCUGAUCCAGCAAUGCCGCGUGAGUGAUGAAGGCCUUAGGGUUGUAAAGCUCUUUUAACCGGGAUGAUAAUGACAGUACCGGGAGAAUAAGCUCCGGCUAACUCCGUG